UUUUUUUUUUUUUGCCAGAAAUUAAGGUUGUCUGUCAUGGUGUAUAGAAGGCUUAUAGUUUUACACCACACUGGACACAUAAAUGCUCAGAAUGCCACCACAGCAAACCAAAAUCACAAUCACUUAUAACAAGUCAAUUAAACAGCUGGAAGAACUGACUUACAUUACCUUUAGGAGGUGAUACCUAACUGUAUUUAUAAAAUACCUCAAACAUAUAUGCUAGUUAAAGAAAAUUCCAACCUAUUUAUUGCAAACUGACUAAAUGGUUAUCUAGAACCAGCUAUAUUGAGCUGCUGGUAUUAGUUGCAAAACAGAAUUUAAGACUUCCUUUACUGUUUCUGUCCUAGAUCAAGGCAGACACAAAUUGUCCAUACUGACUUUAAAUUGCCCCCUACUCAUCAUGUUUGGCUGUACUUCCUGGGUAUCUCAUUUUAGCACACAAUUAGCUUAAAUAUUUCACUCAUAGGUCUACACUUGACACCCGAAGUGCUAGGUAUUGAAUUGCUGUGAGAUUACUCCCACUUACCCUACCCAUCAUUGUAAAAGUCUAGCUGUUUAACCAGAAAAUUUUGUGCUGUUCAGUGAUUCCAGCAAAACUGUUGGCAGAAGAAAGACCUCUUUCUCAUAGUCCCCUAGGAUAAUCUGGAACAAGAAAGUUUUGCAUUUUCUGUGUAAUGAGGACCAAAUAUGAACCAUUUAGAAAUGUCUUGCUCAUUGCUGCUUUGGGUUGCACAUAGUUCAUGAAUCUCCUCUCUGACUGAUAUUCAGGAACAGAAAUAUUUUUAAAAAAGAAAAAUCCUAUUGCCACCAAAAACUACUUGAUGAAAUUAUAAUAUAACUUUCUAGGGGUAAAAUUGUUAUCUCCUUUACAAUUUUAUAAAAAUGUAAAUGUUUACAUAAACAAUAUUUGUAGCUACAGCCAAUAAAGACCCAGCCCUGAACUUGGCAAGAUACACAAAGUAUAAUAAGUACUUCUGAAGAUGUGUCAGCCAGAAGCAGAAGAGAAAGAAAAAGUAAAGAAAGAGUAACUCCCACCCCUCAAUGAGCAGUGAUAAAAACAGAUAAGUAGAAGGCUCAACAAAUUGAAAUGCUCAACUAAUUUUUUGCUUCAGUCCUCUCUGGCAAUCUCUCUUCACACACAUUGAGUGGAUGGAGCACAAGGGAGGGAAUGGGGAAGAAAACCCUCUCCUACCAUAAAAGAGUAUCAGGUGCUUGUGACCACCUGAUGAAUCUGAAUGUACAUAGGUAUGAGAUGAGAUGCAUCCCAGAGACCUGAAGAAACUGACCGAUGCAGCAGGUAAACUACUCUUUGUGAUAGUACCACCCUGUCAGUCCCAGCUCUGUGCCUGGGAAGAUCAUGGAACAGAUCUUCGCAGAAGCUUGCAAAGGCACAUGGAGGACAGUGAGGUGAUUUGAGAAAAUCAACCCUGCUUCAACAAGUACAAGCCUUGAUAGAACAAUGUAUUGGUCUCUUGUGGAUGUUCUCAGUUCAGAGAGAGAGCAAAGAGAGAGAAUUCUCCCAGGCCUAGCCUGGGAAAGUUAGGAGAAGAAAAGAAAACAAGUAUUAUCUCUCUUUCUGUUCAUGUUGUUUAUAGAUAUGCUCUACCACAGUGUGCCAUUCAUAGUGCCCCAAUGGUGUGAAAGGUUUUCACUUUGAGACCAAUCAUAUUUCACCUUAACUAUCCUGGUUGUAAAGGGAUUCUACUUCCUGCUAAUAAACAUUAUUCUUUUGCCUUCUGAACUGUGUGAGUCUUUUUGUCCGUCCCUGCCUCAUCAGCGUCAGUCUCUUAUGAUGGAGCAUCUCCAUCAGGGAAAGAGAAGAGCUAUGGAUGUAACGUGUCUGAGUUUCUUUAAGGUCUUUUAUAUGGUGCCCCUAGAACAGCCUUCUGUCUAAAGCAGAAAUAUAUGGUUUGAUGGAUGGACUGUUCACUUCAUAAGGAACUAACUGUGGGAUCUCAUCCAGAGAAUAGUGGACAAUGUCCAAAUGGACAUCCGUGAGAAGUGGUGCCCCUCAGAAGUCCUUACUGGGAUCACUACGGUUUAAUAUCUUUAUCUCUGACAUAGACAAAGGAUUGAAUGCAGCCUCAGCAUGUUCAUUGACAACACCAAGCUGAGUGGUACAGUUGACAAACCCGAGAGAAGAUGCCUUACAGAAGGACCAUGACAGACUUGAAAAACGGGCCCACAAAAACAUCAUGAUACUCAAUAAGUUCAAACACAAGGUUGCAUAUCUGAGUUGGGGCAGCCUCCAGUAUCAAGACAGGCUGGGUUGGAUGAAGGGAGUGAGAGCAGUCCUGAUGAGAAGGACUCACAGAUGCUGGGACAUGAGAGGCUGGAUGCAACCCAGCCAUGGGCACCCACAGCCCAGAAAGCCAAACGUGUCCUGGGCUACAUCCAAAGCAGUGUGAGCAGCAGGGUCCUCUGCCCCUCUGCUCUGGUGAAAUCCCAUGUGCAGCGCUGCAUCAGCUCUGGUGUUCCAGCACAGGAAGGAUGUAGAACUGUUGGAGCAAGUUCCAGAGGAGGCCACCAAGAUGAUCAGAGGGCCGAAGCAUUUUUCUCAUGAAGAUGGGUGGAGAGAGUUAGUGUUGCUCAGCCUGGGGAAGAGAAGGCUCCAGGGAGACCUUACUGGGGCCUUAAAUACUUAAAGGGGGCCUAUAAGAAAAAAGGGCACACACUUUAUAGUAAUGGUUUAAAAGAAGGUAGAUUCAGACUGGAUAUAAGGAAGAAAUUUUUCAUUAUCAGGAUGGUGAGACACUGGAACAGGUUGCACAGAGGAGCUGUAGAUGCCCCAUCUUUGGAAGUGCUCAAGACCAGGCUGGAUGAGGCCCUGAGCAACCUGGUGUAGUGGAAGGUGUUCCUGACCAUUACAAGCUGAGGAGCUGGAUUAAAAUCACCUUUAAAUGUUCCUUCCAACUAAAUAAUUCUAUGGUUUUAUGUAUCUACAAAAACACUAUAGCCCUAUAAGAAGAGGUAGAGUGUAAUUUCAACUGACCUUAUAUUACUUACAUUUGUAACACCUAGUUAUUUUUAGUAUGCAUCAUCUUGAUUUCGAUUAUAGUUUAUUUGCUCAUACUUAAGUGAGCAUAUAUAUGUAUAUAUGUGUGUAUAUAUAUAUAUAUAAAAUAUAAGUAUACCGUAGUGACCAUUUGAUUAUGAAUGACAUUCUUGCUCCUUUUCUUGUAUUUUCUGGAGCUUAUGAUACUGAGAAGAAAAAAAUUCUGUCCUUGGUACACGCAGUUUCAGCUUUUAAAUAUUUUUCUAGCUGGCAUUUAAUUAUUAAUCUGAUCACGAUAUAAGAAAAGAUACACCCUUACAGAAGAAUACAUUUUCAGCAGAUCAAACUUCAUAUAUUAUGCAAAUAAAACCCAGUAAAGUUUGGAAUGCAUAUGUUCCUUAAUUGAUGACUCAUUGCUUCAGCCUUCAUAAGUAAAUAUUUUUGUAAUUAAGAUAUAAUUAUUGGAAAUUGUUUACCUAUUUAUUCCUUUCAUAUUUUUAAGCAAAUAUUGAAAACCUUGAUUGAGAAGUACCAACUUUAUUCUUGGUUUUUAAUGGGGUCAAGCAGAUAGAGGGUUUUGUUACUAAUUUUCAGAGGUCAGCUUAUGUACUAACACAAUUGCAAACCCAGAACCUUUACUCCUAGGUUAACAGAAGCAAUUGUCUUUACUUAGACAGUAAAAUGAGGUUAGCAUUUCAGUUUGGAAGGUAGCAAAGGAUGUUGUUAUACAGUACAGGCUGGAUCUGCUGUGAGUGAAAGGCUAGAUCAGGCUGGAAGAUGGCUCUGCUGAGUGAUCAUUUCAGGGAGAAUUAGCUGGCAUUGUUGAGCUAGUGAAAGACUUAGACUGCUGUAGCCCAUACUAAGAAACUACAGAGACAUGUCAUUGCAUCUAGGUUUAGACCUGAAAUUAGUGUCCUGACUAGUGCUAUUUGUAAUCUUUGCACUUGUAGAUUUUGAUGUAAUAGGAUUAUAGUUAUAUUAAUCUGGGAAUAAUCUUAAGGAAUUAUGAGCUAGUCUUAGCACUGUUUUACUGGGAGCUGUUCUAAGAAUUAAGGUUAAUACUGUUGCUUUUGCUGACAAGACACUGUUGACCUACCUGGAUCCACAAGAAAUUGCUGUGUUUCGUUAAACGUGAUGCCAUCUUACCAAGUUUGGAGAAGAACUGGAACUUGAAAUUACUUCAGUUGAUGAUGUAAGUUUACAGCAUCAUUUAGGUUGGAAAGGACCUCUAAAAUUAUCAAGUCCAACUGUUAACCUAGCCCUGCCAUGUUCACCACUAAACCAUGUCCCUAAUUGUCACAUCCACACAUUUCCUAAUAUCCAAUCUAAAUCUCCCCUGGUACAACCUGAGACUGUUUUCUUAUAUCCUGUCACUUAUUACCUGGGAGAAGAAAGUGCCAACAUCCCCCCUCAGCCUUCUAUUCUUCAUCCUAAACAACCUUGGCUUCUUCAGCAUUUACCCUCCAGAUGCCCCAUCAGCUUUGUAGCUCUUCUCUGGAUACACUUCAGCACUUCAAUAUCUUUGGUGUAGAGAGGGGCCAAAAAACUAGACAGAGGACUUGGGGCGUGGCCUCAACAGUGCUGAUUGCAGAGGGAAGAUGACUACCCUGGUUCUGCUGGCCACAAGCCAUGAUGCCCUGGCCUUCUUGGCCACGUGGGCACAGUGCUGGCUCAUGUGGAGAGGUCAUGGGACAGUUUCAGUCCUGCUGUGAUGACUUGCAUCCUGGUUUAGAGACAAAACAGUGUUUUUCUCCAAAGAGAAGGGCUCCAAAAAUCCCCUUUUGUGGCAACAGCUCUCUGGCCACAGAAAGCAGGCACAGAGUUUCCCAGGUAUUUUCCCAGGCAAGGCUGUGAGAAGAUCAGAGGAAAGAAUGAGAAACAAUUCUUAUUGUUAUUCUUGUUGCACCUGCUUUUGUGUACAUGUGGAAUGUGUCAUGGAGAUUUGUUUACCAAAGGGUGAUUUCUUAAUUGGACACUGGACAGUGUUUGGAUUGAUUGACCAAUUAGGUCAAAGCUAUAUCAGCCUGGGUGUAGAGGCUACUGAGUUUCUUAAGAAGUAUAGAUAUUAUAAUAUAAGAUUAUAAUAAUAAAGCAAUUGAUCAGACUUCUGCAGUCAUGGAGUCAAUGCUAAUUAUUACCUGGCUGGGGGCCUGCAGUGACAUCUUUUUUCUGAUUAGAGUAAUGAAGAACAGUUGGUGAAAGAGAAAAAAAAAAAAAAAAAAAAAAAA
ensembl:lncRNA